GUAUGUGCCGCAACGAUAGCGUCAGCCUGGGAGCGCAGCCGAAGCGUGCGGCCCCAAGGAGCCCGGCCCUCUUAGGAGAUGCCAACUAAGAGACAACGGCCUGGUAACGGCUGGAACUUCCCAGAUGGCGAGGUGGCCUUCUUUCACACCUGAUGCAGAUUUGCAUCCCCGGACAGCCGAGAGACGCAGAUCGAUUAUAUCUGUGGCGGAGCGCUCCAUACCAGGUGGUAAAGCCGGAUCUUAGCAGUCAGUGUCGAGUGAGCGAGGCGGUCCACUUGCAUUACGCCGAACCCCCUCGCAGAACGGCCGACGGACCCGGCUCGCCGCCCUCGUGACCCCUCCGCAAGUAUCGCAAAGCUCUGCGAUGAAGCCCUGACCUUUUCCAGGUAUAGCCUGCGACGGUGGCAUCAGCCUCGGAGCACGGCCGAAGCGUGCAGCGUGAGGUCCCCUGCCAUCUUAGGAGAUGCUGACUAAGAGACAACAGCCCGGCGACGGCAGGAGCUUCCCGGACGGUGAGCGGCCUUCUUUUGCACCCGAGGAGGAUUCGCAU